rnacentral:rRNA from 1 species
GUGCCAGCAGCCGCGGUAAUACGGAGGGGGCUAGCGUUGUUCGGAAUUACUGGGCGUAAAGGGCGCGUAGGCGGUGCGGUAAGUUAGGCGUGAAAGGCCCGGGCUCAACCCGGGAAUUGCGCUUAAAACUGCCGCGCUGUGAGUCCGAGAGAGGAUAGCGGAAUUCCCAGUGUAGAGGUGAAAUUCGUAGAUAUUGGGAAGAACACCAGUGGCGAAGGCGGCUAUCUGGCUCGGUACUGACGCUGAGGCGCGAAAGCGUGGGGAGCAAACAGGAUUAGAUACCCGCGUAGUCC